rnacentral:tRNA from 1 species
GCCUGUGUGGCUCAGUCGGUUGAGCACCUGUCUUUGGCUCAGGUCAUGAUCUCAUGACUCGUGGGUUCGAGCCCCGCGUGGGGCU